rnacentral:lncRNA from 1 species
CCUGUCCGUCAACCCAGGGUGGCUGUGGUCAGUUGUACCCCUCCCAGCAAUGCCAACAGACCUCAGCAUUUGACCUUCAGAUCCAGAAAUCCACUUCAUUGUGAGGAAAGCUUUCAGGGAGGAAGACUCCAGGCGGGAGAACAUUUUUCCCAGCCGGCCACGCACACAGGCUUCCUGUUUGGAGUUCUGUCUUUCCGGUUUAGAACAGCUGCUGGCCUGUGCAGCCCCUGGGCCUCCAGGGAACGGGGUUAGCUGCAUCCAGCGGAGGGUCCUGUGUUCCACUCUUUGCUCAGCUUCGCCAUGCCCUAGGCAUCAGCCCUGUCCCCGGGUCCCAUGUCCCCCAUAGAGCCUGGCCAGCAGCCCUACGGUGGAGGGAACUCACACAGGCUCUCCUGGCCGGCCCUGCCCCUUGCUUAGCGUCUGCCCGCCCUGGCUACUCCCACUCCUGCGUCAGCUUCCCUGCAAACUGACCCGGCCAGACAGCCUCUGUGUUGAUCUCAUUCUUCAUCAGCAUCAUGCUCUGGGCUGGUCGGGGCUUCUGACUGGGAAACCACCGUGUGUGCGUGUGCGGCACUCCACAGGGACCGUGCGUGGCUCCUUGCAUCUGAGCC